UCCUCGCCUCCUCGCCUGGCCAGCUGCCCCACCGUAUCGCGCCACCUCCUCCACACGGUCCCUAUUUCAGCAAGCUAUCUCAAACUCCUUUCAAUCUUAAAGUGCUACUGAACUUAUUCUAUAUAAGCUGAAACUGCCGGGGAAGAUAACUUCAGUCCACAGUGCUGCCGAGUUUAUAGCUUAGUUUAAGCAUAAAUUGAUACAGAAGAUAAUUGCACAUUGACAUUUCACUUGUAAAUUUGUAAUGGACAAGUUUGAAUAUCUGGAUGUUGAACUGUCUGGAACAUUUUGUGUCUGAUAUAACACAUGGUCAAUCAUCUACUUUGUUCAGGUGACCAUAGCAUGGGAACAAAGUAGAUGAUUGUUUUGUAUACGUGUAUGAAGUAUUUCCUGGAAAAUCAACUUCUCUUGAUGGAUAUGUACUUGAUCUUGGGAUUCUUGGAAAUUAAAUAUUGUGAGUUAUACUAAUAGA